ensembl:snRNA U6 U6 spliceosomal RNA
UUGCUCACUUCGAAAGCACAUAUACUAAAAUUGGAAUGAAACAGAGAAGAUAAGCAUGGAUCCUGUGCAAGAAUGACACACAAAUGAAGCGUUCCAUAUUUAA